rnacentral:rRNA from 1 species
AUAAUGGAGAGUUUGAUCCUGGCUCAGGAUAAACGCUGGCGGCAUGCCUAAUACAUGCAAGUC